UAUGGUAUGAUUUAUUUUAGAAUAAUAUAUAUAUAUAUAGUUCGGCUACAGUGCUUGUAAAAGCACCAAGCACUUUUGCUUGUAAAUUUUUUACCGUUAGAUCUACGCCUUUGAUCAAUUUCAACCGUUAGAUUAUAAUAUUCAACCAACCACCCACUCAACCCUAGGGGGCCCAUAUCAUCCUAAUCGCGCAUCUCUUAAUCCAAUGACCAAAAAUCUACAAGUACCAAUUACUUGGUACUUUUAAAAGUAUAGGAGCUCAAAUAUAUAUAUAUAUAUAUAGAGUGCGUCUGGGGUGCUUUUGGAAGCACGGAGCACUCCGUGCUUCCAAGUUAUUUUCGAUGUUGGGACUUUCGAAUCGACGAUCGGCUCCGUUAGACUUGAUCUAGAGUAUUUGAAGUAUCUAGAAAAUAAAUUUCGCGAUUUUUCGAUAUCAUUUGCCUAGUGAUCGAAGAGGCUCAAAAUCAACGGCUGAAAAUAAAAAUCUUACAAAAUAUGAUGAUAUGAUAUUAAAAUUUUAGAUCAAAGUUAUUGAUCUUGUUUUAUAUGGUAUAAAGAAUUUUCUAUCAAAAUUUCAUGUGAUUUGGAUAUUUCUAUACCGUUAAACUUGCAAACGGCUCACUACGGCCAUUGAAAUUUGUUGAUUUUGAGCCCCUUCGUAAAUUUGUUGAUUUUGAGCCCCUUCGUUCACUAGGCAAAUGAUAUCGUAAAAUCAUAAAAUUUAAUUUCUAGAUACUCCAAAUACUCUAGAUCAAGUUUAACGGGGCCGAUCGACGAUUCGAAAGUCGCAACAUCGAAAACGAGCUGGAA
rnacentral:lncRNA from 1 species